CAGCACUUACCUCCAACCGUCAGGAUUACUUUUUGGCUCUAACUUGUGCCUCACACUCUGUUCUUCCACCCGAGGUGUUGCUUCCAGAGGGCAGAGGCCGGGUCAGUGAGGCUCACACUGCGCGCAGGAAGGCGGCGGGGACGCGAGGCUCGCACCUGCUCUACUUCCUCCUCCGCAUCUCGCGCGCGUGGAGGCCCAGAAGCACCUGAGCUGGCAGGGCUCCGCGCUGGACCUGGCCAUCAUCAGCCCAGACCCCAGGGCCCUCGAGCGGAUACCCCGGUACCACCACAGCCCGACGCAAGAGAAGGAUGAGCUCCCAUUACCCCAGGGUGCAGACCAAGGCCUGGUUCCUGCCUGGGGUCUGGGGGCCUGGCGGGGGAGGGCUGGGGCCAGGAGCUUGGGGGCUAUGCGUGCAGCAGAGGGACUGUGUGUGUCUGGGGCGAGUCUGCGCCCCUCCUUCUGGCUGCCGGGAAUUGCCUGCGUUUACGAGUGUGUGCCCGUGUCCCAGUGGCUAGUCUCUGUGUGCCUUUGUCCCCCGAUGUGUUCAGGGGAAAGGAGCACCGUGGUCGGAAGGACUGCAGAGUCAGGAUGCCCGGCUGGGAGUCUGGCUUCUGCCACUUAAGACCCUGUGCCUUGGAUGAGUUGCCCAGUUUUUCCCUGCCUCGGUGUCCUUGUUCCUUGUGGAUACAUUCAUCCACCAAAUAUUUACCGAGCAUCUGCAGUGUUCUAGGCACUAGCCCAGGCCUUGGAGGCCGCCGCAGUGAGCAAAAGUCGCAGAUCCUGGCUCUGGUGAGCCAGGCCAACAAUAAAGAAAGAAUUGAGUACACAGUA